rnacentral:tRNA from 1 species
AAGAUAAAAGCCAAUUGAAGGGCUGCUAACCUUUUGAUAAGCGGUUAGAUUCCGUUUGUAUCUUU